rnacentral:rRNA from 1 species
GACGAACGCUGGCGGCGUGCUUAACACAUGCCAGUCGAACGGAAAGGCCCUGCUUUCGUGGGGUGUUCGAGUGGCGAACGGGUGAGUAACACGUGAGUAACCUUCCCUUGACUUUGGGAUAACUUCAGGAAACUGGGGCUAAUACCGGAUAGCAGCUCCUGCUGCAGGGUGGGGGUCGGAAAGUUUCGGCGGAUGGGGAUGGACUCGCGGCUUAUUAGCUGGUUGGGGGGGUAGUGGCUUACCAAGCGUUUGACGGGUAGCCCGCCUGGGAGGGUGACCAGCCACCAUGGGACUGAGGUACGGCGCAGAGGGGUACGGGGGGCAGCAGGGGAAAAUAUUACCCAGUGGGCGGGAGCCUGAUGCAGCAGCGCCGGGUGCGGGAUGACGGCCUUCGGGUUGUAAACCGCAUUAGCCUGUGACGAAGCGUGAGUGACGGUAAUAGGUGAAGAAGCACCGGCUAACUACGUG